AAGAUUGACAGGUGCUGAGUAUGAGUAGGAGCUCACUGGCUGGGACUGUUGCCGUCAUCUCAGUAAGCAUCAUCUCCAGGAUGUCACUUUUCCAGCUUGGAGUCAGGCUGCUGAUUGAGGAUCUCUGGACCCAGAAGAGACAUGAGCUGCUCAACACUGCUGUUGAUACUAUCUCCACCACUGGCUUUCUUAGCUAGUGGAUCAUAGCGAAUGGAGGAUCAUAGAGAAGACUGCUGAGCCACUUCCAGAGCCUGCAGCCAUUCUCUAAUAAGAACCGGAUGGACAGUGACCUACCUAAAUUGAGCUCCCCAACCUAGCACAACAUCAGUAAAGAGAAGAGUCCAGUUAACAUCGCCCUCUGGAGGCCCUGGUAGAGUUUUACAGACUGGAGUUCCACUCUGAGACAAACACAAUGGACCAUGUUGGUCUAUAGUGGAUCAUAGUGAUUGUAGGUGCCAUGGUUUGAUCUCUGUGUUGUAUAGGUCUCUGUGUAGAGAGAAUCUGAUUUCUCCUAUCUAUAGUCCCAAGUCUGCAUAUGAAUGUUUGGAGAUUGUUGGAGUUUUUCAUAGUCUGUAGCGCUGUGUGAAUCUGGGAAAGUGGUGACCCCCACUCAAAGUCAAUCUUAAAUGAAUAAUUGUUUAUUUGUCAGAGCGCUGGAGAGGUUUUGACUCUAUUGACAUGUGUACUAUGGUGCAUUGAGUUGGUUGGAACCUCUCCAGCGCACUGAUAAUAAACAAUGAUUAAUUUAAGAUUGACUUCGAGUGUCACUGUGUAAAAAUGUCCACAACAAUUUGGCAUCAACAAACAUGAUGAUGGAUUCUGCCUGUGGAGCUUUCCAGUGGGGGUCUGCAAGGAAAACCGGUGGCGCAUUUUAUGAAGCAUGAGGGAAAUUCCUGUCUGAACAUAUCACAACGAGGAGCCGCCCAGAACAAACCCUUACUGUGAACUUCCCAGGAGGAGGCUUAUCAUCCACCAACAAUUGAGGGACAGCAACUGAUUUCAGUAAAUCAAUUUAAAUUAAUCUGUAUAAAAAAAAUUUUUUUUUUAAAUAAACAAACUAUUUGCAUAUUUACUAAAGGGCCACGGGGGACCGGUAAUUCCCCUUUUGGUACAUAUGACUCACAUUGUGAUUUGUGCGUCCCAAAAAAAC
rnacentral:lncRNA from 1 species